rnacentral:rRNA from 1 species
GAUGAACGCUGGCGGCGUGCCUAAUACAUGCAAGUCGAGCGAAUGGAUUAAGAGCUUGCUCUUAUGAAGUUAGCGGCGGACGGGUGAGUAACACGUGGGUAACCUGCCCAUAAGACUGGGAUAACUCCGGGAAACCGGGGCUAAUACCGGAUAACAUUUUGAACCGCAUGGUUCGAAAGUGAAAGGCGGCUUCGGCUGCCACUUAUGGAUGGCCCCGCGUCGCAUUAGCUAGUUGGUGAGGUAACGGCUCACCAAGGCAACGAUGCGUAGCCGACCUGAGAGGGUGAUCGGCCACACUGGGGCUGAGACACGGCCCAGACUCCUACGGGAGGCAGCAGUAGGGAAUCUUCCGCAAUGGACGAAAGUCUGACGGAGCAACGCCGCGUGAGUGAUGAAGGCUUUCGGGUCGUAAAACUCUGUUGUUAGGGAAGAACAAGUGCUAGUUGAAUAAGCUGACACCUUGACGGUACCUAACCAGAAAGCCACGGCUAACUACGUGCCAGCAGCCGCAGUAA